ACCUGCGGAAGGAUCAUUGCCGUGACCCUGACCAAAACAGACCGUGAACAUGUCAUCCAUGCUGCCGGGUGAUGGGUCUUGCACCUAUUGCUCGGAUUUGGGCAUGUACCUUUGUUUGUAGGGGUACGUGCCCUAAAAGAACCCACGGCGCCAUUACGCGUCAAGCAACACUGAUGAUGCAUUGCACAGGUAGGGAUUGGCUUGCUUGUUCCAAACUUGUGCAAUGAUGAUCUGAUAAAAUCCUUAUGACUCUCGGCAACGGAUAUCUUGGCUCUUGCAUCGAUGAAGAACGUAGCAAAAUGCGAUACCUGGUGUGAAUUGCAGAAUCCCGUGAACCAUCGAGUUUUUGAACGCAAGUUGCGCCCGAGGCCGUCUGGUUGAGGGCACGUCUGCCUGGGCGUCACGCCAAAAGACACUCCCCAUCCAUCAUGACGAUGAUGUGGAUGUGGUUUUUGGCUCUCCGGGCAUGUAAACACGGAGGGCCCAAGUUGGGGCUGCCGGCGGUGCCGAUCACAGCACAAGGUGGAUGGCGAAAGUUAUUCUCGGUGCUAUGUUUCGGAUCGCAUAUGGUGAUGCCCAUAGCACCCAUAUACUGAAGAGCACAUUGCUCAGACCGCGACCCCAGGUCAGUCGGGACUACCCGCCGAAUUUAAGCAUAUCAAUAAGCGG
rnacentral:rRNA from 1 species